UGAACCAGAACACAGGUGCUGCAUGGUUGUCGUCAGCUCGUGUCGUGAGAUGUUGGGUUAAGUCCCGCAACGAGCGCAACCCUUGUCCUUAGUUGCCAGCANNNNNNGGUGGGAACUCUAAGGAGACUGCCGGUGACAAACCGGAGGAAGGUGGGGAUGACGUCAAGUCAUCAUGGCCCUUACGGCCAGGGCUACACACGUACUACAAUGGUCGGUACAGAGGGUUGCGAGACCGCGAGGUGGAGCCAAUCCCAGAAAGCCGAUCCCAGUCCGGAUUGAAGUCUGCAACUCGACUUCAUGAAGUCGGAAUCGCUAGUAAUCGCAGAUCAGCUAUGCUGCGGUGAAUACGUUCCCGGGCCUUGUACACACCGCCCGUCACACCAUGGGAGUGAGUUGCUCCAGAAGCCGUUAGCCUAACCGCAAGGAGGGCGACGACCACGGAGUGGUUCAUGACUGGGGUGAAGUCGUAACAAGGUAACCA
rnacentral:rRNA from 1 species